rnacentral:rRNA from 1 species
UACGUAGGGGGCAAGCGUUAUCCGGAUUUACUGGGUGUAAAGGGAGCGUAGACGGCGAAGCAAGUCUGAAGUGAAAGGACGGGGCCCAACCCCGGAACUGCUUUGGAAACUGUUUGGCUGGAGUGCGGGAGGGGUAAGCGGAAUUCCUAGUGUAGCGGUGAAAUGCGUAGAUAUUAGGAGGAACACCGGUGGCGAAGGCGGCUUACUGGACCGUAACUGACGUUGAGGCUCGAAGGCGUGGGGAG